GACGAACGCUGGCGGCGUGCUUAACACAUGCAAGUCGAACGGAAAGGCCCUGCCUUUGUGGGGUGCUCGAGUGGCGAACGGGUGAGUAGCACGUGAGUAACCUGCCCUUGACUUUGGGAUAACUUCAGGAAACUGGGGCUAAUACCGGAUAGGAGCUCCUGCUGCAUGGUGGGGGUUGGAAAGUUUCGGUGGUUGGGGAUGGACUCGCGGCUGAUCAGCUUGUGGGUGGGGUAGUGGCGUAGCAAGGCUUUGACGGGUAGCCGGCCUGGGAGGGUGACAGGCCCCAUUGGGACUGAGAUACGGCCCGGACUCCUACGGGAGGCAGCGGUGGGGAAUAGUGCACAAUGGGCGGAAGCCUGAUGCAGCAACGCCGCGUGCGGGAUGACGGCCUUCGGGUUGUAAACCGCUUUCGCCUGUGACGAAGAGUGAGUGACGGUAAUGGGUAAAGAAGCACCGGCUAACUACGUG
rnacentral:rRNA from 1 species